AACCAAUGGUGAGGGCACAAUAGGUCCUUGUAUCUCUCCCACGCAUCGUAGAGUGUUUCUAGAUCCAUAUGCACAAAAGAAGAGAUAUCAUUCCUCAACUU
rnacentral:snoRNA from 1 species